GGGUUUUUCAUUUCACACAUCAUUCAACUCCUCGCCCCAGUGAUUCCGGAGGGCCAAUAACCCAUCCGAUCCUGUGUGCACAUCAGCGCCAAUCAUGCAAAUUCCUGCUUCAGAAAGGUGGAGAUCCUAAUACAAAUUCUUGAAAAGCGUAUACCCUGGGACUUUUAUAGCGGGUCCUCUUACAUCACCUCAGAAAGGGAUGAAAUCUGGAGCCAGAAAACAGAAUAGUUUAGUUCCCGACCAAGCUUGGCAAUUAUAUUAAUGUUUCCUUGGGUAACUUUCUCUUUUCAUGGUCAUAAUAUGUAAUUGAACUUGAGUUUACAUUAGACAGACAGUAUUUUUAUUAAAUUCAAAAUAGCUUCUUCGGUCAAAUUGACUUAAUCUGGCCAUCUAAUG
rnacentral:lncRNA from 1 species